CCCCUCCCCUCCACACACACGCCCCUUCUUGCCUUCUUUCCGUCGGAGCGCCUCCGGGUCAGAUUCUGAUUCAGAAGAUCUGGUGUGAAGCUCUAGAACCUGAACGUCUGACAAUGUCCCAAGUGAUGCCAACACUGCAGAUCCCUGGACUUCACUUUGAGUAGCAAUGCUGUAGUAUAUUGUAAUAUACACAUCACCAGAAAGCCUAUAAAAGAAUGCACAGGAAGAUGAACCUCUAAACCUGUACUAAUGCUAUAGGAUCAUUCAGUCAAGGUGAAGCAACAAUCUUGUACCCGUGAGUACAGAAACCGAACAUUAAGGAUGGAGAAGUUGGAAAUGGAAAGGAGAUUGAGUUCUUAACUUUUUUUUUUAAGUAGCUAGAGCUGCUAUUUACUGUCUGUUUAUGGACUUCAUGUUAUACAAGAAAAAAAACCUCUAUUUGCUUAAG